UCCAGACUCCUACGGGAGGCAGCAGUGGGGGAUAUUGCACAAUGGGGGGAACCCUGAUGCAGCGACGCCGCGUGGGUGAAGGAGCGUUUCGGCGCGUAAAGCCCUAUCGGCAGGGAAGAAGGAGGACGGUACCUGACUAAGAAGCCCCGGCUAACUACGUGCCAGCAGCCGCGGUAAUACGUAGGGGGCAAGCGUUAUCCGGAUUUACUGGGUGUAAAGGGGGCGCAGACGGCAGCGCAAGCCAGGAGUGAAAGCCCGGGGCCCAACCCCGGGACUGCUCUUGGAACUGCGCGGCUGGAGUGCAGGAGGGGCAGGCGGAAUUCCUGGUGUAGCGGUGAAAUGCGUAGAUAUCAGGAGGAACACCGGCGGCGAAGGCGGCCUGCUGGACUGAAACUGACGUUGAGGCCCGAAAGCGUGGGGAGCAAACAGGAUUAGAUACCCGUGUA
rnacentral:rRNA from 1 species